rnacentral:rRNA from 1 species
UGUGGUUACAAUAGCAGAGAGGAUACACCUGUUCCCAUUCCGAACACAGAAGUUAAGCUCUCUAGCGCUGAUGGUACUUGGUGGGAAACUGCCUGGGAGUUCUCUGCGAACCGUGG